CGUAAACAAAGGGAAGCGAAGUGGCGACAUGGAGCAAAUCCCAAAAAUAACGUCCCAGUUCGGAUUGUAGUCUGCAACCCGACUACAUGAAGCCGGAAUCGCUAGUAAUCGCGGAUCAGAAUGCCGCGGCGAAUACGUUCCCGGGUCUUGUACACACCGCCCGUCACACCAUGGGAGUUGGAAAUGCCCGAAGUCAGUGGCCCAACCGGGAAGGGGGGGAGCUGCCGAAGGCAGGUUCGAUGACUGGGGUGAAGUCGUAACAAGGUAUC
rnacentral:rRNA from 1 species